rnacentral:rRNA from 1 species
GUAAGGCUCCCAGUAGACGACUGGGUUGAUAGGCCGGGUAUGGAAGCCCUGUGAGGGGUGGAGUUGACCGGUACUAAUAGGCCGAGGGCUUGUCCUCAGUUG